rnacentral:rRNA from 1 species
AUGCAACGGACUAGUUUUGCUAGAUCAUUAUGUGGUCAAUCCCGCCGCACGACGUUGGGCAAGCCUGCCCCCACGCCCAUCUCCUCCUUGGGGUUUGAGCUCUUUUAUCAUGAACGAAACUACAUCGUGUUUGAUCCCACGGUGUCGCCGCACUACCAAGUGCUUAGGUUCCUACAUGUACCCCCCCGUGGGCGUGGACUGGACGCAGAGAAGAAGCAACAGCAAUGGCCUCCAUCUCCAUACAUGAUGCAUGUUUUCUCUUCAGAAACAACAAGAUGGAAAGAGAGAUCAUUCAUCCGACAGGGAGGUACCCUAGGGACUCUUGCCGACAUGUUACUGCUUGAGCUGCCAAUGCCAGAUGAACUAUACGCCGUGUACUGGCAUGGUGAAAUCUACGUGCACUGUCAUUUUGUUAUGAGAAUAUCGUUAUCAAGUGGCACGUACCAAGCAAUUAAACUGCCAACAGAUGUUGAUCAGCACCGGUGCGCACAGGUUCUCCUUGGAAGAUCAGAGAAGGGGGUGUAUUUUGCAGCACUUGAUGCUCAAUGUCAGCUUCGAGUUUGGAUACUCACUGAAUGCUGCGGUCAGAGUGAGUGGCUUCUGAAGCAUGGUAACAACCUUCACCAAAUCCCUCCACGUCAAAACUAUGAUCCACAAGUUCACAGACCCUGCUGGAUUAUGGCAGAUAUCAAUCCAGCUAUUUACAGUACAGUAAAAGAGAAGUUCGAGUUGAAUUCAGACCAUGAGAUAAUCUUUGAAACUAGACUUGAAGGGCACAGGUGGGAUGAACAUAUUAAGAUCCUUGGAUUUCAUCCUUACAAAGAAAUUAUUUAUUUCAGUGAAACGUUGAACAGAGGAUAUGCCUAUCAUCUAGAUGAACUCAAGCUAGAAGACUUGGGCAACAUGCGCCCAAAAAGAUUGGAUGACUGCUAUAAUAAGGAACUAGAAAGAUCUAUUCCAUAUACACCUUGUUUGUUGGGCCCAUACACAUGA